AAUCAACGCUGGCGGCGUGCCUAACACAUGCAAGUCGAACGAGAAAGUGGAGCAAUCCAUGAGUAAAGUGGCGACCGGGUGAGUAACACGUGACUAACCUACCUUCAAGUGGGGGAUAACCUCGGGAAACCGGGGCUAAUACCGCAUAACAUCCUUAGAGUGGAAAUUCCGGGGAUCAAAGGAGCAAUUCGCUGGAAGAGGGGGUCGCGGCUGAUUAGCUAGUUGGCGGGGUAAUGGCCCACCAAGGCAGAGAUCGGUAGCCGGCCUGAGAGGGCGCACGGCCACACUGGAACUGAAACACGGUCCAGACUCCUACGGGAGGCAGCAGUGGGGAAUUUUGCGCAAUGGGGGAAACCCUGACGCAGCAACGCCGCGUGGAGGAUGAAGUCCCUUGGGACGUAAACUCCUUUCGACCGGGACGAUAAUGACGGUACCGGUGGAAGAAGCCCCGGCUAACUUCGUGCCAGCCGCCGCGGUAAG
rnacentral:rRNA from 1 species